rnacentral:pre_miRNA from 1 species
GGCCUCCCUCUGUGGGGUGAUCAAUCCUGGAGCCCUGUGAUAGAUUGCCCCACAGAGGGAGGCC